GCCUUCGUGGUGUAAUGGUCAGCACACUGAGCCGGUAAUUUCAGAGGUCCGUGGUUCGAUCCCCGGCGAAGGCA
rfam:Stegodyphus mimosarum contig128401, whole genome shotgun sequence.